UACGGGGGGGGCAAGCGUUGUUCGGAAUUACUGGGCGUAAAGGGCUCGUAGGCGGCCAACUAAGUCAGACGUGAAAUCCCUGGGCUCAACCCAGGAACUGCAUUUGAAACUCCCUUUCUUGAGUGUCGGAGAGGAAAGUGGAAUUCCUGGUGUAGAGGUGAAAUGCGCAGAUAUCAGGAGGAACACCAAUUGCGAAGGCAGCUCGCUGGGACGUAACUGACGCUGAGACGCGAAAGCGUGGGGAGCAAACAGG
rnacentral:rRNA from 1 species